UGCUGGCCUGGCUGGAGCCUGCAGUACCUCCCCUGCUGCCCUUUCAAGGCCAUACAGCGCUCCCUGCGGACCCAGCUGACGCCUCCCUGCGGGUCGCUGGACCACCACCCCGCUGUACAUACCCCUUUCCUAAACUAAGCCCUGACGCCAGCAACUCUCUGAGCCAUGCCCACAUCUUGAACCACUGACUUUGUUCCCUAGGGAUGGCCUCUUGGUUCAUCCGUACCUCUGACUGUCCCCCUCUACUGAGUCGCAGAGCGGCCAGAGUAGGAGUGGAUUUGCAGUGUCAGAGCAGGACAGACAGAGUAUUUAGGAACGUUGGACAGGAUAGACUACUGCAGAAGUCACUAACCCGUGCCGGAGUGCGAGGUCAGUUGGCUACAGGUCGGUUGAGAGUUUCUGUUCGGAUCGUCGGUGCAGGGGCAAUUCAGGAUGUAAACAUUGCCUCAAUCCACGAAGCUGGAAUCUUUUUAUCUUGACACGAGCCUCCAGCGAGUAACUGCCAUCCAUGGUCAUCUCUACCCCCUGCACCUUGCCCAGAGCCUGCUAUAUGAAUCUUUAGGAUCAGGUUGUCGAGUUCAAAAGGAAAAUGCUUUUAAAAGAAUCUACAACCAUAUGGAGUUGCACAGGAGGAACACAGAAAGAUGUCAAAACACAUUACUCCCAUGGCCUUUGAGCCGUCUCUCAGCAGAUUCCCUUGAGGGAACUGACAGCACUUUGAAGGCCAUGGAAACUCCUUCAACCAAUGGAGAACUAAAGAGUGGAAACUGGAACACUGCAUCUGUCCCUGAAGGUGUGUACCAGGGCAGCAGCGAGACCUCACCCUGAGCUGGCUUAUCUUGACAUAGGUGGUUGGUUCUCAAAUCCUUUCACAAGGGGAAGCCCUUGUGAGCGCACUUGUGCACGCACGCACACACACAGACACCAAGCUUUAUUGGACAUAAACCCCAGAACCGAAGAGAGGUCAUGACCACUAUUCAAAAUGAGUCUCAGAAUUGACAGGCAUGAUCUUCUUGAAGUUAGUUCUUAACUGGGCCAGACCCUCCAUUCCAUGUUGCCUUCUCGGGGACCCACAGGCUUCUUUCCUGGUUGUAGGGCUCGUGUGUACAUUCUCCGGACCAAGGGCAUCUGAGGCCUCUUCCAUGUGAUCACUGUCAAAAGGAUGUGCAUGCAGAAACCUUGGGUUCUGCCUUGGGUGACUGUCCAACUUUCUCUGUUCACCUAAAACAAUAGGCAGCUUUUACUGGUUGCCCUCACCAUUUGGCCCUAGCCUUUUCCAAAGAGAACAGUUUAAUUGCCUUCUUGAUCCCACCAGACAGCAGGGAUUGUUUUAGCCUCCUAAGAGAGAAAUACUUUGUGAGAGAACUAGUAGGACUCAUGACAUCUGAGGCAAAGACGUGUGUUACACAAGUGCAUGUGGAACACACAUUCUAGAGGAAAUGUAAAAAUGCACCAAGAGUUCAAUCAGAUAGAUGCAGCGUGAAUCUGCCCCUUCUGGCUGUGUGAUUUUGGGCAAAUUAAAUAAACCUUCUAAGUGCCAUUUAUAAAAGAGGAAUAAGAAUAUCUUUCAAAGUUGAUAUGAGGGCUAAAUGAAAUUAUUUAUUAUCUCAUUGUCUAAAAGGACCAAAGAAAAUAAUCUCUUAUAUGGUUUUAAAAAAUGCAUGACUCCAUCCAUAAGGAAAAUCCUCUUUAUACCCUCCCCACUUCCAGGAUGAAAGAGAGAAUAUAUACAACAGAGAUCCUUAAUCUUUAGGGGAUUGUGGACCACUUAGAGAAUUUAAAGAAUGUUAAGAAUUGCUUUUUCAAAAAAAAAAAGAGCUGCUUUUUCCAAAAGAAGCAUGCAAGUCAAUAUUCUAACUGUAGAUGCCUUGAAGCUCAUCUGUGGGCUGCUCCAAGGAGCCCAGGCUGAGAGCUCACUUAAGCACUUCCCUGCAGGCCUGCCUUCUAUCAGCAGGGUGGGAUAAGUGACUGUGGCAGGCCUAGGCCUAAUGACAUUCCAAGCCACUGUCAUAGCAGAGGGCUAUUCAGUCUACCCAGAUCCUGAGACCCUUGCCAUGGACCAAUACUUCUACCUGCCCCUCAAGUUAGAGGGCAAGUCUGACAAAGUUGCCCAGUUCCUUUGUCUACACAGAAAAAAAAAAAAAAAAAAAAAAACAGUAUUGAAUGGGUUCCUAAGGUUGCACCAUCUCACUGGAGAGAUAGUCUCCUUUGUGAUUUAUGAUUAAAAUGCACUAACACUGCUUGAGUCCUUACUCACCAGGCAGUGUGCUAAACCCUUGACACGCAUUGUCCUCUCUUACAGAAUGAGGUGGCUUUUGCUAUCUCCAUUUGGUAGUCAGCUGAGUCUUAGAUGGUUUAAAAGUUGUUUGCUGCAGGUCACCCCCCUAGUAAGUGAUGGAGGCAGGCUUGGAGCCUGAGCCCCUCCAACCAAAAAGCCCUAUUGUCUCUUCUCUGCUACCUGCUCCAGUCUCCAGAGGAACAGCAGAUUUUCUGGGACAUUUCAUAAGUACUGACACUUGGGGUCCUUACUUGUUUCCCUGUAGGUCCCAAAAGCAUUGCUUACCCCAUCUUCUCUUAGCUCCCCAGCCCUGAGGAGCCCACUCUGGAAAUAUUUCCCUCCACAUAUAAGCCACACCCUGCCUGCUCCACACUUGUAUGAAUCCAUCAUUGCAUCAUCCCCAAGGCCGUCAGUGUCCAACUUUCCCAUGGAUGGCAGGCAUGGUCUUCAAAGCCCCCACAUGAUCUCCUCUAUGAACUUGUUGCUUCCUAUUUCAGAUAAGAACCAGUCCUUUUGUCAUAUUUGAAUUUCAAAUAGCCACCCACCUUAUUAGCUUGCCUGCCAUUGUCCUCUAAGAAAUCCAGGUCAGUCAUUUGUGGUGAAAAUGUAGCUAUGACACAAUGGGCUAAAAGUGAACAAGACUGUCUCAGGUACACCCAAAUCUUCAUGAGCUGAUGCCUCAGUAAGUUUCAAGGUGCCUUGAAAAUGUGUUUAUAUGAAAGUUUCUUGAGUAUUUAGCAUUUUUAAAAUAAUGGAACAAUUCUCUGUCUCCCUCUCUCUGCCCCUCCUCUCUUUCUUUCUUUCUCUCUCUCUCUCUCUCUCACACACACACACACACACUCAAAAAUGAAUAAAUGUUUAAAAAAUUUUUUUUUAAUUUUUUAAUGUUUAUUUAUUUUUGUGAGACAGAGAGAGAUAGAGCACGAGCAGGGGAGGAGAAAAGAGGGAGACACAGAAUCUGACACAGGCUCCAGGCUCUGAGCUGUCAGCACAGAGCCCAAUGCAGGGCUCAAACU